GGGGAGGCGCGGGGAGCUUGCUGCGGCUCGUCACCCGGACCGGGGAGAAGACGCCCCCCACCCUCUCUAGUUCGCCCUCUCCAUUCAAGUUUGCCGGCCCCUGCCGCCGAGAUCCGGAGAUGGCACCAGCCGCCCGCCCUGCGCUGUGCCCUGUUUCCAGCCACGGCUCAGAAAUUUAGGUCAAGGACGUCGGGAGCAAACCCACACCCCGGCGCUUCUCUGGCGGCCCCCGAGACCCCCCAGGAUCGGGGGGCUUCAGGAUAGCGGAGACCCUCCUGCACAAACACCAGCCACAAGUUUUAUUUUCCUUUUGCGCUGGAAGUUCUCUCUGGCUCUCGCUCCACACCGGCACGUCUUGCGCGGUUCCCCGCCCUUCCCCAGUAGAGGAUUAGGAGACAAAGGAAGACACUCAACACCAAAACUGUACCAAAUCUACUGUGGGUUUUGGAAAAAUGGAAUAUUUGGAAAAUCUCAACACCAGCCAUAUCCUUGAGUGACCAGACCCUCAAUCUCCCCAUUCCCUGAAUUGCAGUAAUUCCUCCUUGACAGGAUUGAUGGGGUGAAGUCACCAACUUCGCCUUGAUGAAAGGUGCGGAGGCCCCCAGAAGAAAAUGAUUACACCUUUCAACUCCACCUGGAAACAGUUGACAGAGGGCCACCGUCACCUUCCCUGCCUCCUUUCCACCACCCUUGCAGUUUGCCCCAUCUCCACCGUGACCUGCCUUGCCAAACCGAAAUAGAAUUGUCUGGAAACUCCAUGGAACAAGGCCUCAUCUGUUUCACCCUUUACCGCACCUCCAGCACCUAGAACAAUGCCAACACGUGGUAGGAGAUCAACAAGUAUUCGUUGAAUGAAUAAACUUUACAUUUCUAUAAUUCUCUUCCAAAAAACAGUUUAUUUUUAAAAAGCUCAACAUUCAAAUACCAACUAAGUAAAGAGACCUAUUAAAGAUGCAAUUAUUUAAAUUACAAGGUGGACUCAUUGAUGUAGGAAAGUUUCCCUCUCUCUUUAACAACUGUCCGUAAAGUCUAGGGAGAAGAGAAGUUUAAUACCAAAAUCUAAAAUAUUUUCCACCUAUUCCCAAAUCAUUUUCUGUCAUAUUAUUCUAUUUUUUCUUCUUCCUAGCACUUCUCAUUCUGAAAUUAUUGUGCUAAUUUCUGUUUCCUUGCUAAUUGCCUGCUUCUCGCCCCCUAUCCAAGAGAGAAGAGACUUUGCCUGUCAUCUUAUUUGCGGCACAAGCCUAGCACAAAGCAAGUGCCCAGAAAACAUUUGUUGAAUAAGUGAAUUUUAAACGCCUAGAAAUAAAGAGAAAAAAACAAUUAAGAUGAACAUGAAAUGCAACGAAACACACAAAUGUGCACAUGUUCACAAAAAAUCAGGACGCAGAGACCUUUUUGGCAAGAGAGCUGCAACUGAAGGGUGAAGAGCUGACCACACAGUGAGCCAGGCAUGAAUUAGAUCCUGUUUGUAACCCACUCCCCACCUGCCGUCAGAACUCAUCACAGAGUUGGACUGGGAAGUGGUGUCUCUGGCACAGGGAACCGGGAAAACACAGGCGACCUUGCAGGUAACCAGGAUCAGAAUAUAAAGCUGGACCUUCAGGGAAGCAGGCUGUGCCUGGAUGUCUCAGGUCACCAACAGGAUGGUGUUAGUUACAAUUCCCUGAGGUCCACCAUGAGCUACCAGGAUGGUGGGAGUGGCAGCAAGAUUGUCCUGUGCCUAGGAGGGCUUUGCUUGCUUUACUUGCUCCUAAGCCUGCAGAGGGAGAUGAUCUUGAUUUAACCCAAUUCAAACCAGCACCCAUUAUAUGGAAAACAGUGUGCUAGGUGCAGACGGUGGUGGAGAAGUGAGAGGUGUGCCACCUGUGCCCAGGCUGAAGAUAGCCACAGACAGAUCAGGAAAGAGCAAAGGUGUCUCUGAAACAGGAUGGAGGGGCAAAGUGGCAGGGGAAAGGGGGCCAGAAGCCUGAAGUUAUGACAAGAGAGGCAAAGAGACUCCCCAGAGGGACCAGUGCUGGAGGUGGCUGGCAAGGAGGGCCUUCCGGGGCAGGCAAGCCAGGGCAUGUUUCGGAGCCUGGAGAGCCCUAUUAGGCUGGAGGCAGGUACAGUCUGCAGGUAGGUGCAAGGACAGCAAUUUAUUACCAGAAGUUCCGGUAAAGUCCCUCCGGACCAAUGAAGCCGGCUAGCAAAGGAAAGUGGUUUUCCAAGUAAAUGCCUGGAGAGCAGCUGCACAGCUUUGCCAGGAAGGGGAAGGCAGGCAAGGGCAGGCAGAACCACAGGUGGCACCGCAGUGAUGGACGAUACGUCCAGAAAGGUAUCUGGGGCAUGUCGGGAUUGAACAAGAUAAUGAAUGACCAUUGGGAGGCAUGAAGGGAAACUGGGGAAGAGAGAGAGUAAUUAUAAAAGUAAUAGAAGAAUGUUUUGCUUGGUCCUGGACAAACUGACUCUGAAAUUAAUCUGGAGUACACCAGUGUUCACAGCAGCAUUAUUCACAAUAGCCAAAUGGUGGAAACAACACAAGAUCCAAGUGUCCAUCAACAGAUGAACUGAUAAAACAAAUAUAUAUAGGUGGUACAUAUAUAAAUGACAUAUUAUUGAGCCAUAAAAAGGAAUAAAGGAGUGAUACAUGCAUGCUAUGAUGUGGAUAGGCCUUGAAGACACUAUGCUAAGUGAAAUAAGCCAGAUACCAGAAGAUAAAUAUUAUACGAUUCCACUUAUAUGAGCUACACCCAGAGUAGUCAAAUUCCUACAGACAGAACGGUGUCUGCCAGGGACUUGGGGAAGGGGAGAAUGGGAGUUAGUGUUUAAUGGGUAUAGAAUUUCAGUUUGGAAUGAUAAAGUUCUGCACUAGAUAUUAGCCAAAAGGCUGAGAAGUGAUGAUUUUUAAAAAGUUCUGGAAAUAG